rnacentral:lncRNA from 1 species
UGAAUUUUAUUGGUUAUUUGUUUUCUGAUCUACUUUUCGAUUCCUAACAUGGGAGAUAAGUAUAUAUGCUUCUGUGUGCGUUUUUACUGCCACUUGCUCUAGUCGUAGUUGAAAUAAACAGAAUUACACCAUGUAACGAGAGUGUUCGAGUGAGAUGUGCUUCUCUACCUCAUUUUUUGGAGCUAGUAAGUGGUUACAAAUAUACAUAUCUUGGAAGCAGCAUUUGUAUACUGUCAAUAAGUUGCUAGGUGCUUUUGUACUUUCUCCUACCACUAAAGCCAGAAAGGAUCAAGGGAGGAUAUAUCAUUCUCAACUCAAAAGAAAAAUGGCCUCAAAUAAGUGUUUUGUUCACUCAGUAUUUAAUAUUUAUAAUUAAGAAUUAAGAAAAUGAAACAAUGUAUCUUGAUUUUAAGAAUGAUGUUUAGGAAUUAGAUCACAUCACCAUACUUGUGCCCUCUUACUAAAUCAGAUAUACAUCAUCUGACGUAUUUUUUUACUCACAAACUAUUUGUUAACUACUCCCUCCGUUUCAAAUUGUAGGUUAUUUUAGUUUUUCUAGGUUCAUAGAUACUGUUAUGCAUCUAGACAUACAUUAUAU